rnacentral:tRNA from 1 species
GAGGGUAUAGCUCAGUGGUAGAGCACGUGCUUAGCAGGCACGAGGUCCUGGGUUAAAUCCCCAGAGCCUCCG